rnacentral:rRNA from 1 species
UACGAACUGUGCAAACGUUAUUCGGAAUCACUGGGCUUAAAGGGUGCGUAGGCGGCUGUCUAAGUAGGCUGUGAAAGCCCCCGGCUCAACCGGGGAAUUGCGCCCUAAACUGGACGGCUGGAGUGAGGCAGGGGUGUGUGGAACUUCCGGUGGAGCGGUGAAAUGUGUUGAUAUCGGAAGGAACGCCGGUGGCGAAAGCGACACACUGGGUCUCAACUGACGCUGAGGCACGAAAGCCAGGGGAGCAAACGGG